GAUGAACGCUAGCGGGAGGCCUAACACAUGCAAGCCGAGCGGUAGAGUUUCUUCGGAAACUUGAGAGCGGCGCACGGGUGCGUAACACGUGUGCAACCUACCUUUAUCUGGGGGAUAGCCUUUCGAAAGGAAGAUUAAUACCCCAUAAUAUAAUGAUUGGCAUCAAUUAUUAUUGAAAACUCCGGUGGAUAGAGAUGGGCACGCGCAAGAUUAGAUAGUUGGUGAGGUAACGGCUCACCAAGUCAAUGAUCUUUAGGGGUCCUGAGAGGGAGAUCCCCCACACUGGUACUGAGACACGGACCAGACUCCUACGGGAGGCAGCAGUGAGGAAUAUUGGGCAAUGGGUGAGAGCCUGAUCCAGCCAUCCCGCGUGAAGGAUGACGGUCCUAUGGAUUGUAAACUUCUUUUGUACAGGGAUAAACCUACCCUCGUGAGGGUAGCUGAAGGUACUGUACGAAUAAGCACCGGCUAACUCCGUG
rnacentral:rRNA from 1 species